rnacentral:rRNA from 1 species
AACGAACGCUGGCGGCAUGCCUAACACAUGCAAGUCGAACGAGACCUUCGGGUCUAGUGGCGCACGGGUGCGUAACGCGUGGGAACCUGCCCUUAGGUUCGGAAUAACUCCCCGAAAGGGGUGCUAAUACCGGAUAAUGUCUUCGGACCAAAGAUUUAUCGCCUUUGGAUGGGCCCGCGUUGGAUUAGCUAGUUGGUAGGGUAAAAGCCUACCAAGGCGACGAUCCAUAGCUGGUCUGAGAGGAUGAUCAGCCACACUGGGACUGAGACACGGCCCAGACUCCAACGAGAGGCAGCAGAGGGGAGUAUUGGACAAUGGGCGAAAGGCUGAACCAGCAAUGCCUCUUGAGUGAUGAAGGCAUUAGGGUUGUAAAGCUCUUUUACCCGGGAUGAUAAUGACAAUACCGAGAGAAUAAGCGCCGGCUAACUCCGUG